AAUCAACGCUGGCGGCGUGCCUAACACAUGCAAGUCGAACGAGAAAGCCGUAGCAAUACGGUGAGUAGAGUGGCGACCGGGUGAGUAACACGUGGAUAACCUACCGCCGAGUGGGGAAUACCCCUGGGAAACCGGGGCUAUACCGCAUAACACCUCUGGAGUUCGCCCCGGGGGUUGAAACCAGCAAGGGGCUUGGUGAGGGGUCCGCGGCCGAUUAGCUAGUUGGGGAGGUAACGGCCCACCAAGGCUAUGAUCGGUAGCCGGCCUGAGAGGGCGGACGGACACACUGGAACUGAAACACGGUCCAGACUCCUACGGGAGGCAGCAGUGGGUAAUUUUGCGCAAUGGGGGAAACCCUGACGCAGCAACGCCGCGUGGACGAUGAAGCAUCUUGGUGUGGAAAGUCCUUUCGGCAGGAACGAAGCGCGAGCAAUCGGGUUGACGGUACCUGAAGAAGAAGCCCCGGCUAACUCCGUGCCAGCCGCCGCGGUAA
rnacentral:rRNA from 1 species